AAGGUUGGAAGACUUAAUUUAUGUGCGUGUAGAAAAUAUACAAAAAAAAAACGUGGUGAAAAUUUUGCAAAACCAUAAAAGGGAACAUAAACCAAACAAAAAACAAUACAAAAGUGUUUUGGCUGCAAAGACGAAAACUUAAAAACCAACCCCUGGAUAAGGUACGCCAAGAAAAAAAUGAAAAAGUGACCUUAUUACAUAAUUCCAUGUAUGUAAUGUACAUAGGUUAUGAUCCACGUGUGGCAGGAAAUUGCUGACCUGGCCUGACCCUCGUUCUCGGAGGUCCGCUCCAGUACCACGAUCAUUAGUCCUUCUUUUUGGUGCCACCGGACCUUGCCUGCAGGCCGAGAAACGGAUGGACUUGGCGAUCGGGACCGAGUUGUUUAUAUACAUAUAUCUCACGCGCAACUCUAAAACCAUCUAUUAU
rnacentral:lncRNA from 1 species